rnacentral:rRNA from 1 species
AAUAGAUACCCAGGUAGUCCAUGCCGUAAACGUUGGGCACUAGGUGUGGGGCUCAUUCCACGAGUUCCGUGCCGCAGCAAACGCAUUAAGUGCCCCGCCUGGGGAGUACGGCCGCAAGGCUAAAACUCAAAGGAAUUGACGGGGGCCCGCACAAGCGGCGGAGCAUGCGGAUUAAUUCGAUGCAACGCGAAGAACCUUACCAAGGCUUGACAUGCACGGGAAGCCACCAGAGAUGGUGGUCUCUUUGGACACUCGUGCACAGGUGGUGCAUGGUUGUCGUCAGCUCGUGUCGUGAGAUGUUGGGUUAAGUCCCGCAACGAGCGCAACCCUCGUCCCAUGUUGCCAGCGGGUUAUGCCGGGGACUCAUGGGAGACUGCCGGGGUCAACUCGGAGGAAGGUGGGGAUGACGUCAAAUCAUCAUGCCCCUUAUGUCUUGGGCUUCACGCAUGCUACAAUGGCCGGUACAAAGGGCUGCGAUACCGUAAGGUGGAGCGAAUCCCAAAAACGCCGGUCUCAGUUCGGAUUGGGGU